UAAAUUCCUCUGGCCCAGCUACUAAAUUCAAAGUGGCCCAAAAAUUUAAUUAAAUCAACCAACCCAAACACUCCCUUCAUCCAUCGGUUAAUUCCCUCUCUUCCACAAUUCCUUUUUUUCCCAAACAUGAGAAAUCCCUAAAUCAAAGGAGAGCAGCGGUGCAUCUCCCUUCUCUCUCACGAUUCGUUGCCGCCAGACCCGCCGGAGAUCUAUCGGCGCCGGCUGUUCCUCGGUCCUCUUGUUCUCCAUUUUCCUUUUCACUCCAUUUCUCCAAUUUCCCCCAAUCACUUCACCAUUGCUUAAAUCCUUAAUUUCAUCAGAGACGGCGUCUCCCUCAAAUCCUGCUGCCGUCGUUUCUUUCCUCGCGACGGAGAGUCAUCGCCGGCUUCCCCUCGGUCCUCUCCCCCUCUUUUUCUCCAUUGGAGAAACCCUUAUUGAGGCAGCAGCAUCUCCGUUGAGCUCUCUCUCUUUCUCUGGCGACCGGCGAACUCGCCGCUCCCCUGCGUCGCCGGCUCCGCCUUCCUCCGGCGAAUUCGCGGAUGAUGGAGGAAGCGUCGCCUCUCAUCUCCGGAGGGUUCCCGACGCCGAUCUCUCUCCCUCCCUCCAGGAGCUUGGCGUUUUCGCUGGGAGUCACACCGUCGCCGGCGACUCACGUUAGCUCCCUCCGUCGAGUAGCUUCCUCCCCUAAGCUAAGUCACCUUUCCCCCUUUCCCUUCAAUUAUUCCAAUUUUUGUUGUUCUACUUGAAGGCAGUAGCUAUGGUAACUGAUUGUUCGUUGAUUCUAUCGCUAUGAUUUUCCUACGUGAGCAUGCCGCCUAUGAUUCUAAGUUCUGGAAAUUUCGUGGCGUUCUAACGUGAUGCAAAAUAUGGUGUUGAGUGGCUGCUCAAGAUCGAGAAGGGGAAGAGAAGAAGAAGAAGAAGAAAGAAUUUGACUAGUGUACCACUUUAUCCAUUUCCAUCUUUGGCUACUUCCCAAAGCUAGAACUUGCUAGGAUAGUAGUAGCCUCAUUUCUUAUUUCUUUCCAAUGAAGAGAAUCUUUUGUGUAGCUAGGAGGUGUGUAGCAGGAAAAUGUGUUGUCCCUUUCAUCCAUAUAUCUCCACUUGUAGCAUGUAUUGUACCUUAAUACACAUGUAUAUUCUACAUUUCUAGAUCAAAAGUAUUUUCUCCACUUUUAUCCUUGAAA